CAAAGGCAUGGUCCUGGCCUUAUUAUCAGCUCUAACUCAACUUACACAUGCAAGUAUCCGCACCCCCGUGAGUACGCCCUCGACCCCCCGCCCGGGGAUCAGGAGCGAGCAUCAGGCGCACAAAUCCUAGCCCAAGACGCCCAGCCAAGCCACACCCCCAAGGGAAUUCAGCAGUGAUAAACAUUAAGCCAUGAGUGAAAACUCGACUCAGUCAGGGUUAACAGGGCCGGUAAAACUCGUGCCAGCUACCGCGGUUAAACGAGAGGCCCCAGUUGAUAAUACCGCGGCGUAAAGGGUGGUUAAGGGCUCCAACCAAUAAAGCUAAAUAGCCCUCCGGCCGUCAUACGCUUCCAGGCGCUAGAGACCCAAUUUUACGAAAGUAGCUUUAGUAACACUCACCUGACCCCACGAAAGCUAAGAAACAAACUGGGAUUAGAUACCCCACUAUGCUUAGCCAUAAACCCAGACAUCGAAAUACAAUUGUAUGUCCGCCAGGGCACUACGAGCAUUAGCUUGAAACCCAAAGGACCUGACGGUGCCUCAGACCCCCCUAGAGGAGCCUGUCCUAGAACCGAUAACCCCCGUUAAACCUCACCACUUCUAGUCUCCCCAGCCUAUAUACCGCCGUCGCCAGCUUACCCUGUGAGGGAAGCAAAGUAAGCAAAAUGGGCACAACCCAGAACGUCAGGUCGAGGUGUAGCGCAUGAAGUGGGAAGAGAUGAGCUACAUUUUCUAUCGCAGAAUACUACGAAUGCGCAACAUGAAAUAGUGCUUGAAGGAGGAUUUAGAAGUAAAAAGGAAGAAGAGUGUCCUUUUGAACCCGGCUCUGAGGCGCGUACACACCGCCCGUCACUCUCCCCUGUCAAAAUGCAACAAACUUACCUAACCACAAAGCGCUGACAAGGGGAGGCAAGUCGUAACAUGGUAAGUGUACCGGAAGGUGCACUUGGAUAAAACC
rnacentral:ncRNA from 1 species